ensembl:lncRNA
UCUUGGGGAACGUAGCCGAGGUGAAGGAGCUACGGCCCCAGCUGAUGACUUCGCAGUUCAUCAGUGUCUUUAGCAACCUCCUCGAGAGCAAGGCCGAUGGGAUUGAGGUUUCCUACAACGCCUGUGGCGUCCUCUCCCACAUCAUGUUUGAUGGGCCUGAGGCCUGGGGCAUCUGUGAGCCCCAGCGGGAGGAGGUGGAGGAGCGCAUGUGGGCAGCCAUCCAGAGCUGGGACAUCAACUCCCGGAGAAAUAUCAAUUACAGGUGAGGGCUGGGGCAGGGUGGGGCAGGGCAGGGGCCGCGCGUGUGCUGGGCCAGGACGCCCAUUCCAACCAGGUCUGCUCAGAGCUGCGUGCCCUUCUCCCGGUCCUGCUACUCGGAGUGUAGCCCACCACCAGCAGAGCGCGGAAAGGCACACAUCACACCUCUACAGCACCGUGCCUCGUUCACACAUCCAAACCUGCAUGGGCCCAGAGCCUACAGUUUACAAACAUUUGAUACCUGUUUAGUUGUGGGGAAAAAAAGGAGGCAACACAGACACACAACAGGAAACAAAACGGAAACCAUUCAUUCCCUGAAAGAGAAUCCCCUGGACCAUUGUGGCAUCUCCCCUUCUAGCAGUUUUUCUCUGCACGGAUUUAAUUACCUUCACUCCAACUGGCAUCAAGUCUUACUGUCUCGUGACUGAAUUUGCAGCCACAAGCUCUGGGUCUCCCUUGUCAUUUUAUGCCUGGGUCCCUUUCCACAUGCGGCCGGGCCACCCUGUACUGAUGGAUGUUGAAGCUGAACCCCCACGUUGGGGGGACCAGGCUCAUCCUCCGCUUGGCCGAUACUCGGUACCGAUGAGAGGUGACGUGGAGUCACUGGCCAGGGCCCAGGGCUGCACGUACAGUUUUCAGGCUUUGGAACAAUGACCCCAGAUGGCCCGUGGAAGGCCUUUACAGGGCGUGCUGUCCCUCUCCUCUGCUUCCCGGGGCACCUCGCCCCCCCGCCCCAGCCUGGGCCCUCCUCCCUGCUGGGGCCCCGGCUCCAGCACCACCUCCCUUGUGAGUCCACACGCCUGACCUCUGUCUCGGGGGAGCUCCCUUUGUGGAGCCUGCAGUGGGCUGGAGGGCCAGACACCCCCGGGCCCCUCCCCGCUGCCUCCACUGGCCUGCUUGUCGGUUGUCCACAGGACCCUCCACUGAGGAGAAACCUCCAACAAGAGGCAGCGAACCCUCCCCCACCCCGCCAAUGCCCAGCCUCAAAAGUGACCUCGAUUUUUCUUCCUACAGGUCAUUUGAGCCAAUCCUUCGCCUCCUUCCCCAGGGCAUCUCGCCUGUCAGCCAGCAUUGGGCCACCUGGGCCCUGUACAACCUGGUGUCUGUCUACCGUGAGUGUGCCCUCUUGCCCUUUGAUCACCCGUGCGCUGAGAGCAGACCCGCCUCCAGGAGGCGACAGCCCGGGAGGCAGCAGCGGGAGAGCUGGUGUUGGCGUCUGCGCCUCGGCACACGGCCCUCCGCUUGCCCACAGCGGUGGGAUGCCAGCGUCAUGGCUGGCCCCUGGCUCGUCCCCACAGGCAGCCCUGGCCCAUCUGGACAUCCCAGGCAGCUUUCUUGCUGUGUCCUGCUUCCACCUGAGCCAAGAGUCCAAGCUCUCCAUGCCUCCCGUGAGGCAGACUAAGACCAACCCCAGCUGAGAACGAACCCCUGAGGAAAGAGGAGAGACUUAAAAACACUCACUUCCUCAGAGACUCGCACCCUCUCUUAGAAGAGCCUGAACUGCCCACUGCCCGGUGGCUUUGGGGGAGGGGAAAGAGGGCGCAACUCUAAGAGACUUUGCUUUUUUUUUUUUUUUGACCCUAGUUCUCACCGUCACUGCUUGUGUGACCUCAUGCAGUUACCUAACCUCUCCGGGUUUUGGUUUCCUCCUCUGCAAAAUGUAAUAACAGCUACUUCAUAAGAUUGACGUGAGGGAGUUCCCCUGUGGCAUAGCGG